GCAGUGGCAGAGCGCAGCUGCAGCGCAAAAGAGGAACCUGGAGCGGACGGAGCGCUUCUCUGUGGCGGGGAAGGGGCGCCUUACGCAACCAGAACUUUCUAUAGAGACUCGCGCGCGCGCUUAGUUUUAUCCGGGAGCAUUCCAAGGCGCGAGGAAAACUGCGCGAGGGAGACGGUGCCCCAGGACCCAGGAGUCCCCUUGCGGACGGUGGUGGCGUUGUUACCUCCGCUCUAGGCAAAAUAUUCUGCACAUGGCAUUCGCCUGUGUUCUGGAUUAUGGGAUUUUGAACUGGCCCCACAUUUCAAGUUGAAUAAAACCUUGCCCUUGGAGAUCGAGAAAGAAGACAAUGCCACACCAGUGAAAAAACGUGGAAAGAUUGAUGUGAUUGUCAGUGCGCUCAUGAUGGGUUGCUGAGGCUGAAACUGAAUGAGUUGCCCAAGGCCUCCGAGAAAGAGGUGAGUCUUACAUCCAGAAUGUUUAGAUCCAACAGCUAUUGGAUAAAGCAAUAGACAAAUAUCCCUGUUGCACAGCGGGACUUUGUGGUAUCCCACAAAGUAAAACAAAAACAAAAACCAACCUCCUCUUGCAUACUAGAUUCCUAUAAAUAGGGAAUCCUUUAAACUCAAACAUUUCAUUCCCCAUUUGCAUUUUAGAAUGGUAUAUUCCAGCCACAUCUAUAUCACACAGGGCUGCAAAUUAUGCCAUUUUGUUGUUUGUCACCCACUACAUCACAUUGGCUGUAAUUGCAGAAUGAAAUUGCAAGCUCAUAAGCUAUAGACUGGAUCUCAAUUUAAGGGCACACUUCCCUCCUUACUACCAUAUGAGGAAUAACCAGGGUUUAGACAUUUGUUUUACAGUAAUCUGAACAUUUACACAUAGGCCAUCAAGAAGACAAAUCCUGUUAAGAAGGUUGAUCCUACUAGCGUUGACAUACAUUUUGGAGAGGAAUUUUUGCUAGCCCCUGGUGACUUUCCUGAUUAUUUAUAGGAGUACUGAACACAUAGCAGGCAAAUUAUGUGCACACAUAGAACAGAAAUUCUAAAAAGCUCUUUGGUUCCACCCCCUACUUUAUCAGCAUGAAGCUCCCCUUAACAGUAAUAGUCUGCUGCCCCCCAGGGGCAAGAAAUAAGAUGUAGCCAUGGUCUCAGUGUGACCUAUAUCAGUAUCAAGCAGAAGUCUCUGAUUCAGCCAUAUGUACUGAGCUUCAUCG